rfam:Schistosoma rodhaini strain Burundi genome assembly, scaffold: SROB_scaffold0000336
AUCCGGCUGACGAGUACCGAAUAGGUCGAAACGCGCGUCCUGGAU